GGACUACUGGGGUAUCUAAUCCUGUUCGCUCCCCACGCUUUCGCUCCUCAGCGUCAGUACCGGCCCAGAGUGCCGCCUUCGCUACUGGUGUUCCUCCCGAUAUCUGCGCAUUUCACCGCUACACCGGGAAUUCCACACUCCCCUACCGGACUCGAGUCACAGCAGUUUCGAAUGGCCCCUCCACGUUAAGCGUGGAGAUUUCACAUCCGACUUGCCGAACCGCCUACGAGCUCUUUACGCCCAAUAAUUCCGGACAACGCUAGGCCCCUACGUAUUACCGCGGCUGCUGGCAC
rnacentral:rRNA from 1 species